CACUGACAGAGCCUGGCUCACUCUGACUUGUUCCUGCAUCCUGCUGAGUGACUCUGUGAGGCUUGGAGGUCCAUAGACAAGGUCUUCAUACCCAAAAAGGAGCUGGUGCUGCCAUGUGCACACUGUUGCUCCCUGGAGCUGAACAAUAACAAUGGAAAAUGGGAAAAAAAAAUAAAUCUUGUGUUUUGUGUUCCACAUGCACCUCUGCUCAUAGGACCUUUACUGAGACUCACGAUUAUUCCUCUUGUGUGUUCAUCCUUGCCAGCUCCGCUAACCUGUUCAAAGAGGUUUAGCACUUUCUUUCUUUUUGAAGCACCAUCUGUGUUGUUUUGGUUUCAGCAAUGCAUCACUCAGCAGGACAGAAUUCAGAAAUAAAGCCCCAAACUUGCAAGCUUUCUCUAGCUGGCCUUUCUACUAUGGCAACUUGAAUUCAAGACAAGGAUAUAUAUUAAAAUUAAAAUAUUUAGUAAUGCCUCUAUUUUAAACAUGAAGAAAAAGUUCCCUUGCACUUCAUUCAAUUAUUUCUGUUCACUUGACCAACAUAUGGCUGAGGGUACAUUCUUACCUGAAAUUUAAAUUCUUCUCCUUACUUUCAAAUUGUUCUGUUCAAAGAUGUAAAGCAGAUGUUAUGGAAUUUUUAUCUAUCUAUAUUAUUUGUUAGUGCAUUAGUGUAAAGUGCUAAUUAGGUUGAUCAGCAAGACCAAAGAGACUUUCUG
rnacentral:lncRNA from 1 species